rnacentral:rRNA from 1 species
GAAGCGGCAACAGCUCAAAUUUGAAAUCUGGCGCAAGCCCGAGUUGUAAUUUGCAGAGGAUGCUUCUGGGCAGCGGCCGGUCUAAGUUCCUUGGAACAGGACGUCAUAGAGGGUGAGAAUCCCGUAUGCGACCGGUUGGCACCCGUCACGUAGCUCCUUCGACGAGUCGAGUUGUUUGGGAAUGCAGCUCUAAAUGGGUGGUAAAUGUCAUCUAAAGCUAAAUACCGGCCAGAGACCGAUAGCGCACAAGUAGAGUGAUCGAAAGAUGAAAAGUACUUUGGAAAGAGAGUUAAAAAGCACGUGAAAUUGUUGAAAGGGAAGCGCAUGCAACCAGACUUGUCCGCGGUGUUCCGCCGGUCUUCUGACCGGUCUACUCGCCGCGGGCAGGCCAGCAUCGUCUGGGCGCGCCGGAAAAAGGCGCAGGGAAUGUAGCCCCUCGGGGUGUUAUAGCUCUGCGCACAAUACGGCGCCGCCCGGGCGAGGUCCGCGCUUCGGCUAGGAUGCUGGCGUAAUGGUUGUCUGCGGCCCGUCUUGAAACACGGACCAAGGAGUCUAACAUCUAUGCGAGUGUUCGGGUGUCAAACCCCUACGCGGAAUGAAAGUGAACGGAGGUGGGAGCCCUCGGGCGCACCAUCGACCGAUCCUGAUGUCUUCGGAUGGAUUUGAGUAAGAGCAUAGCUGUUGGGACCCGAAAGAUGGUGAACUAUGCCUGAAUAGGGUGAAGCCAGAGGAAACUCUGGUGGA